rnacentral:rRNA from 1 species
UACGGAGGGUGCGAGCGUUGUCCGGAAUCACUGGGCGUAAAGGGCGCGUAGGCGGCCCGAUAAGUAGGGGGUGAAAUCCUGCGGCUUAACCGCAGGGCUGCCUUCUAAACUGUCGGGCUAGAGCACGGUAGAGGCAGAUGGAAUUCCCGGUGUAGCGGUGGAAUGCGCAGAUAUCAGGAAGAACACCCGUGGCGAAGGCGGCUCUCUGGGACGGUACUGACGCUGAGACGCGAAAGCGUGGGGAGCGAACAGA